AGAAUCAACGCUGGCGGCGUGCCUAACACAUGCAAGUCGCACGAGAAAGGGACUUCGGUCCUAAGUACAGUGGCGCACGGGUGAGUAACACGUGAAUUAUCUACCUCCGAGUGGGGAAUAACUGAGAGAAAUCUUAGCUAAUACCGCAUAACACUUACGAGUCAAAGCAGCAAUGCGCUUGGAGAGGAGUUCGCGGCAGAUUAGUUAGUUGGCGGGGUAAUGGCCCACCAAGACGAUGAUCUGUAUCCGGCCUGAGAGGGCGCACGGACACACUGGAACUGAAACACGGUCCAGACUCCUACGGAGGCAGCAGUGGGGAAUUUUGCGCAAUGGGGGAAACCCUGACGCAGCAACGCCGCGUGGAGGAUGAAAUAUCUUGGUAUGUAAACUCCUUUCGAUGGGGAAGAUAAUGACGGUACCCAUAGAAGAAGCCCCGGCUAACUUCGCGCCAGCAGCCGC
rnacentral:rRNA from 1 species